rnacentral:misc_RNA from 1 species
UUGAUUUUAGUUAUUUGUGAACGUACUACGAACAAACAAAAAAAAUAUUAUAGUCAAAAAAUUAAAUCA